rnacentral:rRNA from 1 species
UAGGAAGCCUUCGGGUGGAAUAGAUGUAGACUUAGUGGCGGACGGGUGAGUAACGCGUGAGCAACCUGCCCAUAAGAGGGGGACAACAGUUGGAAACGACUGCUAAUACCGCAUAAGACCACACUAUCGCAUGAUAGAGGGGUCAAAGAAAUAUCGCUUAUGGAUGGGCUCGCGUCCCAUUAGGUAGUUGGUGAGGUAACGGCCCACCAAGCCGACGAUGGGUAGCCGACCUGAGAGGGUGAUCGGCCACAUUGGAACUGAGACACGGUCCAAACUCC